UAAAAAUUACUUGGAAAUGAUGUUGCAAUGACAGGGGAUGCAAGUGGAAAAAAAGUGCAGUGGGCCAGAUGGAUCAUAAUGUAGAUUCUAUUCCUGUGUCAUGACCAAAAUUGUUGCAUCAUAAGAACACAAUUUUAAGUGUCCAUAUAUGGGAUUUGGUUUUAUGAUAAGGAAGAAUGCCAAAGAAUUGCAGAGCUCAUGAAAAACCUAACUCAGCAAGAGCAAUUCAAAGCACAGCAGGGCACUGGAACAGGAGCGUCCCCUAUGAUCACAAAUUCUGCUAAUAACAAAGAAGUGGAUAUUUUACGGAUGCUUACCAAGGCCAAAGAUGAGUACACUAAGGUGAGAUUUGCUAUCUCUAAGAUCUCAGCUUUUGUUUUUUGAUAAUACUGCAUU